rnacentral:rRNA from 1 species
UACGUAGGUGGCAAGCGUUAUCCGGAAUUUUUGGGCGUAAAGCGCGCGUAGGCGGUUUUUUAAGUCUGAUGUGAAAGCCCACGGCUCAACCGUGGAGGGUCAUUGGAAACUGGAAAACUUGAGUGCAGAAGAGGAAAGUGGAAUUCCAUGUGUAGCGGUGAAAUGCGCAGAGAUAUGGAGGAACACCAGUGGCGAAGGCGACUUUCUGGUCUGUAACUGACGCUGAUGUGCGAAAGCGUGGGGAUCAAACAGGAUUAGAUACCCGCGUAGUCC